UGUUGUUGCUGUUGUUGCGUUUGCUGCGAUUGCUCUCGCUGUACAUGAUGAUGCUGGGCUGAUUGCUGCUGCUGUUGUUGUUGUUGUUGCUGAUGGUGAUUCUGUUCGUUUCUCGCUCUCCUUUGUUUCUCACGACGUCUACGACUGGGUACGCAAUUCGGAUCACAACAAGGACUUGCUAAGUCGUACGCGUCCAAACUACCGCUAUCUGAUUGUUCCCUGCGACGACUGGCGCUCGAGAUGCAAGCAACGCAAAGGCUAUUCUGGGGUGGAGGAUGAAGAGGAAGCGGAUCUCCACUGCUAUGUCUCGACGAAACGGUUACUCCUGAUUCGCUUGACAUCUUUGAGAGGAAGUGGUGGUGAUCGCUUCGCGAACGGGGAGGCCCUACUGCUACUAGACAAGCGGUGUUCCGUGGAACUAAACAUGGUCGUCCAUCUGGGAAC
rnacentral:misc_RNA from 1 species